rnacentral:rRNA from 1 species
CCCUUAGAUGUUCUGGACUGCACGCGCGCUACGCUGACGUACGCAACGAGUGUCCUUUACCGAGAGGUAUGGGUAAUCAUUUGAGUGUACGUCGUGAUGGGGAUAGAAUAUUGUAAUUAUUACUCUUCAACGAGGAAUUCCUAGUAAGCGCAAGUCAGCAGCUUGCGCUGAUUACGUCCCUGCCCUUUGUACACACCGCCCGUCGCUCCUACCGAUGGGUGAUCCGGUGAAUGAUUCGGACUCGGUUGCCUCUAGCCACUAGUGGCGCUCGAGAAAGUUUUGUGAACCUUAUCACUUGGAGGAAGGAGAAGUCGUAACA